GUGCCAGCCGCUGCGGUAAUACGAAGGGGGCGUAGCGUUGCUCGGAAUGACUGGGCGUAAAGGGCGCGUAGGCGGUUGUUACAGUCAGAUGUGAAAUCCCCGGGCCUUAACCUGGGAACUGCAUUUGAUACGUGACGACUAGAGUUCGAGAGAGGGUUGUGGAAUUCCCAGUGUAGAGGUGAAAUUCGUAGAUAUUGGGAAGGAACACCGGUGGCGAAGGCGGCAACCUGGCUCGAU
rnacentral:rRNA from 1 species